AGCUUUGCCCAGUGGCAGUACCACAGCCCACGAGGUCUAUCCAAGGCAGGAUGAUUGCUAAUUGAAAACUCUUCCCUGUUGGUAGCCACUCAGACUGUGUCCAGAGUGUCGCUGCCAAGUGAGCUCUUCCUGUUUUGUCAUUAGUAUACAUGCACAAGAGAUUUUUGGGGUGAGAUAAUUAGCU
rnacentral:snRNA from 1 species